rnacentral:rRNA from 1 species
UACGUAGGGGGCUAGCGUUGUCCGGAUUUAUUGGGCGUAAAGAGCGUGUAGGCGGCCAGGUAGGUCUGCUGUGAAAACUCGAGGCUCAACCUCGAGACGUCGGCGGAAACCAUCUGGCUAGAGUCCGGAAGAGGAGAGUGGAAUUACCUGGUGUAGCGGUGAAAUGCGCAGAUAUCAGGAAGAACACCCGUGGCGAAGGCGGCUCUCUAGUACGGUACUGACGCUGAGACGCGAAAGCGUGGGGAGCGAACAGG